ensembl:lncRNA
GGGAGGAGGGAGAGAGAGGUGCUGCUCUAGCAUGUGGGGGAAAGGCUGUAAUGUGAGUGAGUGACACUGGGAGGAGGGAGAGAGAGGUGCUGCUCUAGCAUGUGGGGGAAAGGCUGUAAUGUGAGUGAGUGACACUGGGAGGAGGGAGAGAGAGGUGCUGCUCUAGCAUGUGGGGGAAAGGCUGUAAUGUGAGUGAGUAACACUGGGAGAAGGGAGGGAGAGACUAUACAAAUUGAUGGAAGGUGGUGUUGGGGGAAAAACAUACAACAUUAUAAAAUCCAUGUACACAAAUGACAAGUGUGGUUAAAAUAGACAUAAAACACAUUUCUUCCCACAGGGCUGUGGGGUGAGACAGGGAUGCAGCUUAAACCCCACCCUCUUCAACAUAUAUAUCAACGAAUUGGGGAGGGCACUAGAAAAGUCUGCAGAACCCGGCCUCACCCUACUAGAAUCUGAAGUCAAAUGUAUAUUGUUUGCUGAUGAUCUGGUGCUUCUGUCACCAACCAAGGAGGGCCUACAGCAGCACCUAGAUCUUCUGCACAGAUUCUGCCAGACCUGGGCCCUGACAGCAAAUCUCAAUAAGACCAAAAUAAUGGUGUUCCAAAAAAGGUCCAGUCGCCAGGACCAAAAAUACAAAUUCCAUCUAGACACUGUUGUCCUAGAACACACAAAAAAACUAUACAUCCCUUGGGCCCAAACAUCAGCGCCACAGGUAACUUUCAUAAAGCUGUGAAUGAUCUGAGAGACAAGUCAAGAAGGGCAUUCUAUGCCAUCAAAAGGAACAUAAAAUUUGACAUACCAUUUAGGAUCUGGCAAAAUACUUGAAUCAAUUAUAGAACCCAUUGCCCUUUAUGGUUGUGUGGUCUGGGGUCCGUUCACCAACCAAGAAUUCACAAAAUGGGACAAACACCAAAUUGAGACAGCAUGCAGAAUUCUGCAAAAAUAUUCUCUGUGUUCAAACACCAAAUAAUGCAUGCAGAGCAGAAUGCCAAAACCAGCUAAUUAUCAAAAUACAGAAAAGAGCCGUUUAAAUUCUACAACCACCUAAAAGGAAGCGAUUCCCAAACUUUCCAUAACAAAGCCAUCACCUACAGAGAGAUGAACCUGGAGAAGAGUCCCCUAAGCAAGCUGGUCCUGGGGCUCUGUUCACAAACAGACCCCACAGAGCCCCAGGACAGCAACACAAUUAAACCCAACCAAAUCAUGAGAAAACAAAAAGAUAAUUAAUUGACACAUUGGAAAGAAUUAACAAAAAAACAGAGCGAACUAGAAUGCUAUUAGGCCCUAAACAGAGAGUACACAGUGUCAGAAUACCUGACCACUGUGACUGACCCAAACUUAAAGAAAGCUUUGACUAUGUACAGACUCAGUGAGCAGCCUUGCUAUUGAGAAAGGCCGCUGUAGGCAGAACUGGCUCUCAAUAGAAGACAGGCUAUGUGCACUCUCUCCCACAAAAUGAGGUGGAAACUGAGCUGCACUUCCUAACCUCCUGCCAAAUGUAUGACCUUAUUAGAGACACAUAUUUCUCUCAGAUUACACAGAUCCACAAAGAAUUAGAAAAAAACCCCGAUGUUGAUUAAACUCCCAUAUCUACUGAGUGAAAUACCACCGUUUGCCAUCACAGCAGCAAGAUUUGUGACCUGUUGCCACAAGAAAAGGGCAACCAGUGAAGAACAAACACAAUUGUAAAUACAACCCAUAUAUGUUUAUUUAUUUUCCCUUUUGUACUUUAACCAUUUGCAACAUUGUUACAACACGGUAUAUAUACAUAAUAGGACAUUUGUAAUGUCUUUAUUCUUUUGAAACUUCUGUGAGUGUAAUGUUUUCUGUUCAUUUUUAUUGUUUAUUUCACUUUUGUAUAUUAUCUACUUCACUUGCUUUGUCAAUGUUAACAUAUGUUUCCCAUGCCAAUAAAACCCAUUGAAUUGAAUUGACUAGAGACAGUGACCAACCAACCAACCGGCUCUAUAAUAGGCUAAUAGCUGCC